rnacentral:rRNA from 1 species
AUGAUCUAUUACCCAAUCAUAUUAGGAAUAUUAAGAAGCAUUGAUCAGUGUAUUCUGAACUUACUAGAAAUUGUUAGAACUAGUAGUAUUAUCAUAGUUACUAAGGCAUCACCAAAGUGUCGUUUAGGCGUCGAGGCGGUCCUGGGUGGUGGUCAUAGCCGUUUUGUGGCGUCCAAGGCAUCGAGAAGACAUGGUAUAGUGUUGCCUGAGGCAAGGCAGGUGAUGAGGAUGCUUGUAGUGGGAGGAUGGAAAUAUAGAGCAGGAAAAUCUUUGAAGAGGGAAGUGAGAUACAUACAUACAGUAGCUAAGAAAAAAAAGGGACCUGCAACCUUAGGUUGA